UCCUCUUCAUCCUUCAUGGUUGAAUACUUUAGGGUUAAUUUUGUUUUUUGGGGGACGAGGGUUUGAUGUGAGAUGAUAGAAUUCUAGCGUGCAGAAGUCGUUUCGAGAGCAAUUGGUGGGUGAUCGCAGAAGCGGAGCUCCGUUAUCGCCAGGAUUAGGGUGUGAAACCGGCAUGCAGCUGUGAAUAGUUGGGAAGUAGGGAGGGGAGGGUGAUGGUCAUGAAAGGGGUGGUAUGCGACGAUGUGAUCCACUAGCUGGAGACUGGCGUCGUACCCAUUGGACAAGACAGGAAACGGAAUCAGGUUGGAUGGGAGGAGGGGGAAGUACAAGGACAAGAAGAGUCGGUGCGAUUUAUGCGCCGUUCAGCGAUACGUCCUGGCUAGCGUCAUUUUUACAUUCAUUUUUUGGGUUGGUUAUAAGAUCUGGACGAGCGAUUGAAUACCUUUGAGGCAUUUCUCGUAAAGUUUCUUUCAGUAGCGUUCUGUUGUUAGUUGGUGAGUUUUGUUCCUCCCCCCGGAGAAGUUCAUUUCCUUCACUCUUCCUUACACUGCGGUUUCUUACAGUCAGACACAGUGAGGAUGAAAAUUUUCACAUGCAGAUCGCAGGUGCAGAUGAUGGAGGAUCAAACUCAAAAGCAUGACUUCUCACACAGAUACACACAAAUUCGGAGUCCCAGAUUUCUAUUAUGUACUUGUGGUUGUAUCUUUUUGCUGAUUUUGGGUUUGAUUCUGAGACAUUGUCCCCAGGUUAUUGCUUGAUUGAGGUUUCCACCGAAGUCUUCAUGUUAUAAGCUCAAAACAAGUAUGUUUCUGCUUCACAUUCCUCCAUGAAUUGCUAAUGUGUUGCCAUAUUCUGAAAAGUUGUGUGCAUGUGAUGUGCUGUCUUGACGAGGGUGGCUCUUCUGAUAACCUUGUGUGCACUAGUGGCAACACCUUUGCUUAGACAGUCCAGGAUUUCAAGUAUUUCAGGCUUUUUUGAUAUUUAGUAAUGUGCUUAGACCCCAGCAGAGUUGGUUCUAAGUUCGUUAAGAGUGUGAUGAUGUAUUAUUAUUAGUUAUUAUUGAUUAUUGUAGACCAUAAGCUUAGGCCACUUUCGACCUUCAAGGCUAGCAAGGAUGUCUUGAACUGUCACGCAACACGUCAUAUGUAUGCUUUUCCAUGAGAUACCAUCUUUGCCGAAACAAUACUAUAAUUGUUCUUGUCAAGAAAUUUUAAUUUGAAAUUGUUUUCAACGUCA